rnacentral:rRNA from 1 species
GACGAACGCUGGCGGCGCGCUUAACACAUGCAAGUCGAACGGAAAGGCCUGCUUUCCCUUGUGGAUUGCGGGUACUCGAGUGGCGAACGGGUGAGUAACACGUGAGUGAUCUGCCCCCAACUUGGGUAUAAGCCUGGGAAACUGGGUCUAAUUCCCGAUAGGACUGCAGGGUGGUGCCUGUGGUGGAAAACGAUUUUCUAGUGGUUGGGGAUGAGCUCGCGGCCUAUCAGCUUGUUGGUGGGGUAAUGGCCUACCAAGGCGGCGACGGGUAGCCGGCCUGAGAGGGUGGACGGCCACAUUGGGACUGAGAUACGGCCCAGACUCCUACGGGAGGCAGCAGUGGGGAAUAUUGCACAAUGGGCGGAAGCCUGAUGCAGCGACGCCGCGUGGGGGAUGACGGCCUUCGGGUUGUAAACUCCUUUCGACCGCGAGGAAGCCACCUGGUUGGAAGGGUGGUGACGGUAGUAGUAGAAGAAGCACCGGCUAACUACGUG